CUAAACCCCGCUCUCUCUCUCUACACCUCUUUACUUUUCCUCCGCCGUCCGCCGUCCGCCAUGGGCGACCGCCGUGAUCGUGACCGUGACCGUGACCGUGGGGACCGCGACCGCGAUAGAGACCGUGACCGGAAGAGAAUCCGUGAAGAGCGUGACCUUGACCGCAGCAAACGCUCCCGUUCCCGUACACCCGACCGCACCCGAACCCGCCACACCCGAUCUCGCACCCGUUCCCCCGAUGACAGAGACCGCCACCGCCACCGCCACCACCGCUCCCGCUCCCGCUCCCGCUCAGUCGCCUCUCCUCCCAGGAAGCGCCACAAGGACGACGACGACGUUUCCAGAGAAAAGGACAAGCGCAAGGACGACGCCGUUUCCAAGGACAAGAUGAAGAAGAAGAAGGAGAAUUCCGUCACUAAGGAGGAGGGAAUCGUCGACGGCGAGAUGAUGGACGACGACGAGAUGGAGAUGAUGAAGAAAUUCGGGAUUCCGGUGGGGUUCGACACCACCAAGGGAAAACCGGUCGCCGGAAACGACGUCGGCGCUGUGAGGAAGGUCACGAAGCGGCAACCGCGGCAGUACAUGAACCGCCGUGGGGGUUUCAAUCGCCCCUUGCCUGCCGAAGUCAAUCGUUAAUUGAGGAGAGGGAUUUUCCAUUGCCCCCCCAGAUGGAAGUUGUUCAUGCCAUGCCAUUCAUUAAAGACGAAGAUUGCCUUUGCCCUUUUGGUUUAGAUGAUUUGGGACAAACUGGACACGAUAAGCCGCUUGGUUUUUAUGCGUAGGUGUUUCUGCUACAUCCUCAUCCCUUCGUAAAGGUCCGAAAUGUGAAUUUUUUUAAUGAAAUCAUAACUGUUGUGAUAUAUAUCCAUACAUUUCCCUUGUUCGUAGAUGUUUGUCUAUGAAAAAUUAUAGCUUUAUCACUUACACGAUGGUUCUGCACUUGCUAUAUUUAUUCAAUUAUCCA